AAGUCGUAACAAGGUUUCCGUAGGUGAACCUGCGGAAGGAUCAUCACGAGAGGGACGCCGCGAGGCGCACCACUACACUGUGUUGCUGAGCGAUGAGUGUGGCCAAGGCGCAAGCCUGCCACACACGUCUAUUGACACCACGAACACAUUGAACCAGCUGAACAGCAACUAACUAAUCAACACAACUGUUAGCAACGGAUCACUUGGUUCUC
rnacentral:misc_RNA from 1 species